rnacentral:rRNA from 1 species
UUACGGUCAAAUUACACUGAAAGCACCGGUUCUCUUUCGAUCACCGAAGUUAAGCAUCGUAGAGCCAGGUUAAUAUUAUAUGAGGGACCGCUUGCGAACACCUUAUACUGUAA